UGAUUGUUGUAACAUUAAUUUCAUAAAAAAAAUCCUCAAUGAAACUAUUACAAUUUAUACUACUUUGAUACUUGCAAUAUUUAACUACUUAGGGUCUGUUAUGCAAUUAUUUAAAAUAAAACAGGUUCCCUCCAACUUGGUUUAGCCCUCCAUGGUCGAGCCCAUUUCGUAAUCAUCACACCAAGCCGGUUUGCGUCUAAACCGCUUGGAUUUAGCCCGGUCCUCACCCGGUUCAUUAACCUCCAAUGAACUUCGAUCGAAGUUCUUCCCCUUCUCAGAAAUUAGGGCGGCCCUCUCCUCGGCGACGGAUUCCUGAAUCCCGGCGACGUCAUCUGCAAUCUGGUCGUAGUCGAUAGCUACUGUAUCAUCACCCCCUCCUUCAAUGCUGACCUUGUCCUCAAGGUUUAGAGCAGGAAAAGCCGCUUGUAGCGCUGCCCGGUCUUCCCACGAUGAGUCCUCUGGUAAAGCUCCAUUCCAUUGUAUCAAUAACUGUUUUACUAUUUUCUUUCCUUGCCAGACCUCACGCUCAUCAAUUAUAGCCAUAGGAUAUAUUAUUGGCUGAUUUUCUCUUGUUAAUAGUGGCUCCCCCUUUUCUGUAUUUUCAGGAAUUGGUCCUUGAAAUUGCUUCAAUCUGGACACAAAUGUACUAUGGAUUUUGCUGCCUUCUGGAAACUUCAAUCUGU
rnacentral:lncRNA from 1 species